rnacentral:rRNA from 1 species
AGAGUUUGAUCCUGGCUCAGGACGAACGCUGGCGGCGCGCCUAACACAUGCAAGUCGAACGAGCGAGAGAGAGCUUGCUUUCUCGAGCGAGUGGCGAACGGGUGAGUAACGCGUGAGGAACCUGCCUCAAAGAGGGGGACAACAGUUGGAAACGACUGCUAAUACCGCAUAAGCCCACGGCUCGGCAUCGAGCAGAGGGAAAAGGAGCAAUCCGCUUUGAGAUGGCCUCGCGUCCGAUUAGCUAGUUGGUGAGGUAAUGGCCCACCAAGGCGACGAUCGGUAGCCGGACUGAGAGGUUGAACGGCCACAUUGGGACUGAGACACGGCCCAGACUCCUACGGGAGGCAGCAGUGGGGAAUAUUGCACAAUGGGGGAAACCCUGAUGCAGCGACGCCGCGUGGAGGAAGAAGGUCUUCGGAUUGUAAACUCCUGUUGUUGAGGAAGAUAAUGACGGUACUCAACAAGGAAGUGACGGCUAACUACGUGCCAGCAGCCGCGGUAAAACGUAGGUCACAAGCGUUGUCCGGAAUUACUGGGUGUAAAGGGAGCGCAGGCGGGAAGACAAGUUGGAAGUGAAAUCCAUGGGCUCAACCCAUGAACUGCUUUCAAAACUGUUUUUCUUGAGUAGUGCAGAGGUAGGCGGAAUUCCCGGUGUAGCGGUGGAAUGCGUAGAUAUCGGGAGGAACACCAGUGGCGAAGGCGGCCUACUGGGCACCAACUGACGCUGAGGCUCGAAAGUGUGGGUAGCAAACAGGAUUAGAUACCCUGGUAGUCCACACUGUAAACGAUGAUUACUAGGUGUUGGAGGAUUGACCCCUUCAGCGCCGCAGUUAACACAAUAAGUAAUCCACCUGGGGAGUACGACCGCAAGGUUGAAACUCAAGGGAAUUGACGGGGGCCCGCACAAGCAGUGGAGUAUGUGGUUUAAUUCGACGCAACGCGAAGAACCUUACCAAGUCUUGACAUCCUGCGACGCACAUAGAAAUAUGUGUUUCCUUCGGGACGCAGAGACAGGUGGUGCAUGGUUGUCGUCAGCUCGUGUCGUGAGAUGUUGGGUUAAGUCCCGCAACGAGCGCAACCCUUAUGGUCAGUUACUACGCAAGAGGACUCUGGCCAGACUGCCGUUGACAAAACGGAGGAAGGUGGGGAUGACGUCAAAUCAUCAUGCCCUUUAUGACUUGGGCUACACACGUACUACAAUGGCGUUAAACAAAGAGGAGCAAGACCGCGAGGUGGAGCAAAACUCAGAAACAACGUCCCAGUUCGGACUGCAGGCUGCAACUCGCCUGCACGAAGU